CAGGCCUGAUGGAAGACAACAUGUGUGGAGACUCUGUGAAAUAAAGCCUUGCCAAUGUCCAGACUCAAAUGUGAACAUACCAAGGAAACAAAUUUGGAGAAUUGUCAAGAAUCAGUGGGGGAUUUACAACGCAGGGCUGAAAGAUGCCAUACUUUUUGGAUUGCAUGAUUGGCAUGAAACAACCUGGGGUCAUUGUUACGCCCCGGCAGGAAGCAGUUAGCAUCCAGAUGUUGCCCCAGGCACCCAGCACGUUUCAGCUGCUCAAGAAUAGUUUGAAUGUAGGACUCUGUGACUGGGGUACGCUUUGUUACAGUACAAAUAAAUAUGUUUCACACUGACGGUCUGUAGUAGCUUUAAAACUACAGAACGUGCACUAAGGAAAAAUAAGUGUUGCCUUAUGAUAAUGUGCAAGAAGAAGCGCAGAAGAAGAGGGCAGAAGACUGAAAUUUCAGUCCCAUCCCCCAAGCAAAACUGCCCAUUUCAAAUAACAAACACAGUGGGACAUUAAACCCCUACCCUUUGUAACAGACAUAAUGUAAGUUAAAGAAGUUUGAAUAGGGAGCUGCGUUGCAUGUGUUGGCUGCAAUGGAACACAUGAAAGUUAAAUUCAUGCUGAAAGGAACAGAAUGGGGACACAACGUUUCUCCUCUAUAACUCGUCAGCAGACAGAAAAAUUCCCCCAGUGCCACAAUGUUCUCUAUGCCCUUCUAGUGUCUACUUUCUACGGAGUAAUCAUGUAACAUAAGGGAACAGCGCACAUACAGUAAUUACAUUAACUACCAGGAAGAAAAAGGGCAGCAAAAAAUGUGUACAAAUAAAAAAAUUGAUUUUAAAUUUUAUCAGUUAAAAAUAUACAUAGUGGCAUUAAAAUUUGUGUUCAAAACUAAGUGCUGUAUACAUGUAACAACUCAAUUGCGGCAUCUUUAAAUUUUCUUGCUAUUUCCGAAGAACCUCAAGAUUGUUGGCCUGGAGGUUCAUGAAUGUUAUUACUUAAUAUUCGGAAAUGUGAAUAUAAUUUACAAAUUAAUUUUAUCAUUAAAUUAUUUAUUUCAUUUAAUAGAGAAUUGAUAGUGAAUUUUUUCGUAACCGUAAUUGUUCAUGAAUUUUUCCUCACAGACGAAUCGCAUGAAGUCAUAUCCACAGAUAUGCCAAAACAAUAGCAUACACAUCAAUGAUCUGUAUACUCUAUAAGUAUAUUGUAUAUACAGAAAGUACAGUAUGAUGCCAUAUUG